rnacentral:rRNA from 1 species
GACGAACGCUGGCGGCGUGCUUAACACAUGCAAGUCGAACGAUGAACUUGGAGCUUGCUCUGGGGGAUUAGUGGCGAACGGGUGAGUAACACGUGAGUAACCUGCCCUGGACUCUGGGAUAACCUCGAGAAAUCGGAGCUAAUACCGGAUAGGACCUUGCACCGCAGGGUGUGGGGUGGAAAGUUAUUCGGUUUGGGAUGGACUCGCGGCCUAUCAGCUUGUUGGUGAGGUAAUGGCUCACCAAGGCGUCCACGGGUAGCCGGCCUGAGAGGGUGACCGGCCACACUGGGACUGAGACACGGCCCAGACUCCUACGGGAGGCAGCAGUGGGGAAUAUUGCACAAUGGGCGCAAGCCUGAUGCAGCAACGCCGCGUGCGGGAUGACGGCCUUCGGGUUGUAAACCGCUUUUAGUAGGGAAGAAGCCUUCGGGUGACGGUACCUGCAGAAAAAGGACCGGCUAACUACGUGCCAGCCGCCGCGGUAAUAC